rnacentral:tRNA from 1 species
GGUUUAAAUCCUUCCUGUACUA